UCUGAUUGUAUUUACAUACUGAGUCCACUAGGGGGCAGAAAGCUAAGUUAUCAGUUAGAAAGUAUCCCGCUCCUGAUCGGCUAAUGAAGCCCUUGUUGCUCUCUUCGUGUUUGUGCUGUUUUAUUUCUUAAAUCUUCUUUCUACUUUAACAUGAAGUCAAUGUUUUAUCUGUCAGUGUGAACUACAAGCAGCUGCACAGAGAUGAAAACAGCGCGCAGAGACUGAGCGGAGCUAGCGAUGCUAGCGAUGCUAACAGGCUCCAGGAGCAGCUUCAGAGGAGCUGUGGUUCCUAAACUGGAGCUUCAGCUCCAACAGAGCUGAAACAAAGCUCUACAACUCUGGUUUAGACGCUAAGAUGUUGAGUUUCCGGUCUGAAGGUAGGAAAAUAUUUAUGAAAAGUUAAAUUAUCCUGGAAACAGUCAGAAUGAUGUUGAUGUUUUCGCUGCAGAGCGACGAACUGAACUAUUAUUGAUAUCAGAGCAGGGCGGUUUCUGCCCUCUAGUGGACCCAGAUGGUAACUACAGCUACUUGAUAAAGUUAGAGCGUUUACAAACGACAUGCACUUCCGUUCCUUCAUUCAGAGACUCAAACUGAAAUGUUCUUUAGUGAAGAAGAAGCUUCAUCUGGAUCUGAUGUUGAAGCUGCAGUUUGAAUCCGUCUCAGGAUUCGGUUCAGAAUCCAGUUCAUGUCACUGAUCAGCAUCAUUGUGGCUCCAGAACGUGGCCCACCUCUACCUGUGCAGGCUGGAGGAGGCUAAGAGGAGGUUCUGAUGGAUCCGGUCUUUACCAGCUGUGGACACUGGUUCUGCAGGAAAUGCAUCAGGUGCUACUGGGACCAGUCUGUUCCAUUUGGACCCUCCUCCUGCCCCCAGUGUGGGGGCAGGAGGAGGGAGACUCUUCAUACUUGAAGAGUCCGGUUCUGUUUUUGUGCUGAAAGUUUGGAACAAUCAUGUUUUUGUU